rnacentral:misc_RNA from 1 species
GAUGAAGAACGCAGCGAAAUGCGAUAAGUAAUGAGAAUUGCAGAAUUCAGUGAAUCAUCGAAUCUUUGAACGCACAUUGCGCCCCCUGGUAUUCCGGGGGGCAUGCCUGUUCGAGCGUCAUUUCACCACUCAAGCCUCGCUUGGUAUUGGGCAACGCGGUCCGCCGCGUGCCUCAAAUCGACCGGCUGGGUCUUCUGUCCCCUAAGCGUUGUGGAAACUAUUCGCUAAAGGGUGUUCGGGAGGCUACGCCGUAAAACAACCCCAUUUCUAAGGUUGACCUCGGAUCAGGUAGGGAUACCCGCUGAACUUAAGCAUAUCAAUAAGCGGAGGA